rnacentral:rRNA from 1 species
GACAGAGGGGGCAAGCGUUGCUCGGAAUUACUGGGCGUAAAGGGCGCGUAGGCGGGAUGGCAAGUCGGUCGUGAAAUCCCUCGGCUCAACUGAGGAACGUCGAUCGAUACUGCCGUUCUUGAGGGUUGCAGAGGAGACUGGAAUUCCCGGUGUAGCGGUGAAAUGUGUAGAGAUCGGGAGGAACACCGGUGGCGAAGGCGGGUCUCUGGUCCACAACUGACGCUGAGGUGCGAAAGCUAGGGGAGCAAACGGG